rnacentral:rRNA from 1 species
CCUACGGGCGGCAGCAGUGGGGAAUAUUGGACAAUGGAGGCAACUCUGACCCAGCAACUCCGCGUGUGCGAUGAAGGUCUUCGGGUUGUAAAGCUCUUUAAUCGGGGACGAAGAAAGUGACUGUACUCGCAGACUAAGCCUCGGCUAACUACGUGCUAGCAGCCGCGGUAAUACGUAGGAGGCAAGCGUUAUCCGGAAUGACUGGGCGUAAAGGGUGCGUAGGGGGUUUGGCAAGUUGGUCGCGAAAUCCCCGGGCUCAACCUCGGUGCUGCUAAUAAGACUGUUGGGCUUGAGUGCAGGAGAGGUGAAUGGAAUUCCACGUGUAGCAGUGGAAUGCGUAGAUAUGGGGAAGAACACCGACGGCGAAGGCGGUCUACUGGAACGUAACUGACACUGAGGCACGAAAGCGUGGGGAGCAAACAGGAUUAGAUACCCUAGUAGUC